UACGGGAGGCAGCAGUGGGGAAUUUUGGACAAUGGGGGAAACCCUGAUCCAGCAAUGCCGCGUGUGUGAAGAAGGCCUUCGGGUUGUAAAGCACUUUUGUCCGGAAAGAAAGCAUCCUGGCUAAUAUCUGGGGUGGAUGACGGUACCGGAAGAAUAAGCACCGGCUAACUACGUGCCAGCAGCCGCGGUAAUACGUAGGGUGCGAGCGUUAAUCGGAAUUACUGGGCGUAAAGCGUGCGCAGGCGGUUCGUUAAGACAGAUGUGAAAUCCCCGGGCUUAACCUGGGAACUGCAUUUGUGACUGGCGAGCUAGAGUAUGGCAGAGGGAGGUAGAAUUCCACGUGUAGCAGUGAAAUGCGUAGAGAUGUGGAGGAAUACCGAUGGCGAAGGCAGCCUCCUGGGCCAAUACUGACGCUCAUGCACGAAAGCGUGGGGAGCAAACAGGAUUAGAUACCCUGGUAGUCCACGCCCUAAACGAUGUCAACUAGUUGUUGGGGAUUCAUUUCCUUAGUAACGAAGCUAACGCGUGAAGUUGACCGCCUGGGGAGUACGGUCGCAAGAUUAAAACUCAAAGGAAUUGACGGGGACCCGCACAAGCGGUGGAUGAUGUGGAUUAAUUCGAUGCAACGCGAAAAACCUUACCUACCCUUGACAUGGUCGGAAUCCUGCUGAGAGGUGGGAGUGCUCGAAAGAGAACCGGCGCACAGGUGCUGCA
rnacentral:rRNA from 1 species